GACGAACGCUGGCGGCGUGCUUAACACAUGCAAGUCGAACGAUGAAGCGGUGCUUGCACCGUGGAUUAGUGGCGAACGGGUGAGUAACACGUGAGUAACCUGCCCCUGACUUUGGGAUAACUACCGGAAACGGUGGCUAAUACCGGAUAUGACCUUGUGCCGCAUGGUGUGGGGUGGAAAGAUUUUUUGGUUGGGGAUGGGCUCGCGGCCUAUCAGCUUGUUGGUGGGGUGAUGGCCUACCAAGGCUUUGACGGGUAGCCGGCCUGAGAGGGCGACCGGCCACACUGGGACUGAGACACGGCCCAGACUCCUACGGGAGGCAGCAGUGGGGAAUAUUGCACAAUGGGCGAAAGCCUGAUGCAGCGACGCCGCGUGAGGGAUGACGGCCUUCGGGUUGUAAACCUCUUUCAGUAAGGAAGAAGCUUUAGGGUGACGGUACUUGCAGAAGAAGCGCCGGCUAACUACGUGCCAGCAGCCGCGGUAAUACGUAGGGCGCAAGCGUUGUCCGGAAUUAUUGGGCGUAAAGAGCUCGUAGGUGGUUUGUCGCGUCUGGUGUGAAAUCCCAAGGCUCAACCUUGGGCUUGCAUUGGGUACGGGCAGACUAGAGUGCGGUAGGGGAGACUGGAAUUCCUGGUGUAGCGGUGGAAUGCGCAGAUAUCAGGAGGAACACCGAUGGCGAAGGCAGGUCUCUGGGCCGCAACUGACGCUGAGGAGCGAAAGCAUGGGGAGCGAACAGGAUUAGAUACCCUGGUAGUCCAUGCCGUAAACGAUGAGUGCUAGGUGUUGCGGGUAUCGACCCCUGCAGUGCCGCAGUAAACACAAUAAGCACUCCGCCUGGGGAGUACGGUCGCAAGACUGA
rnacentral:rRNA from 1 species